rnacentral:lncRNA from 1 species
AUCUAAACUUCAUAUAUACAUCACAUGUAUCAUGACUACUUUUAGAUCUCUAUUAAUUACAUCUAAUAUAGCAUGCUUUUUAAAUUUUAAAAUAAUUUUAUAUCUGAAUCUAUCAUAUUAUAAUAAAUCAUAAAUCACUUUAGAUCUAAUUUAAAUUUAUUUAUGAUCAAAAUAAUUUAUAAAAAUCUGUUUGCUCUUCUUCUUCAUGAAACUGGAUCACAAUGACACCCCUACACGUCUAAGAGAAUCCGUCGAAUGGGUCAGAGAGGGAGAUGAAUCUCUUCUUCCUCAUACGAUUGGAUAGUCUGGUGAUCUUAUCAAUCCAAGUACUGGACUACAAAAAUCUGAAAUCUUAUUUCAUAUGAAAUCACAUCAACAUAUAGUUCGACAAAAUAUUUUAUAUCAUGAAUAUGACUUUGAUCUCAUCAACUAUGUUCUUCAUCUAAUCUAAUCAGAUUUGAUGCAUCAUAUACAUCAUAUCAGAUCUAAAAUAUAUC